rnacentral:rRNA from 1 species
CCUUUGACGUUAGCGGCGGACGGGUGAGUAACACGUGGGUAACCUACCUAUAAGACUGGGAUAACUUCGGGAAACCGGAGCUAAUACCGGAUAAUAUUUGAACCGCAUGGUUCGAUAGUGAAAGGUGGUUUUGCUAUCACUUAUAGAUGGACCCGCGCCGUAUUAGCUAGUUGGUAAGGUAACGGCUUACCAAGGCGACGAUACGUAGCCGACCUGAGAGGGUGAUCGGCCACACUGGAACUGAGACACGGUCCAGACUCCUACGGGAGGCAGCAGUC